CGUGGGUAACCUGCCCAAGAGAUCGGGAUAACACCUGGAAACAGAUGCUAAUACCGGAUAACAACAGAUGAUGCCUAUCAACUGUUUAAAAGAUGGUCCUGCUAUCACUCUUGGAUGGACCUGCGGUGCAUUAGCUAGUUGGUAGGGUAACGGCCUACCAAGGCUAUGAUGCAUAGCCGAGUUGAGAGACUGAUCGGCCACAUUGGGACUGAGACACGGCCCAAACUCCUACGGGAGGCAGCAGCC
rnacentral:rRNA from 1 species